rnacentral:lncRNA from 13 species
UGUGGGGGGCAGUAGCCAUCUUAUAACUAUGUUGCUUAAGCUUUUGUUCCUCUUACCUAAACCUCCAUCUUGUGGGCUUCCCUUAUUGUUUAAGUUUCACAUUCCUCCUAGUUAAGAGGCUAGCCUGCAGCCUCGUCUCAGUGGUUACUCUCUGACCUCAGCCCUCAGAACUUCCCGCCCUUACUUGUUUAUAAGCAACCGCCUUGUAGCUAAUAAAUGAGACUUGAUCAGAUCCUUGACUUGUCUCCAUUCUCUGCGUCUCCUGUCUCUCUCUUUUAAUCCCCACUCCCUUCCUAGGGUCUCCGUUGCUUGUCCUGCGGGUCGGGACACACUCUCACUGGAUGGAUCCUGGAAACAGAUCAUGGGUCAAAUCAGAAACCUGACUGAUGAACGUCUCUGUCAAUGCUAAAAUAUUGGGGGGGCCAAGCAUGAUGGCUUAUACCUGUAAUCCUGGCACUUUGGGAAGCCAAGGGAGACUAACCUAGAUUAUCUGGAUGGGCCCAACUACUCACAAGUAAGACAUAGUGAGACACUCUAUCCGCCAUUGCUGGCUUUAAAGAUGGA